UGCCCCGUAGUGUAACGGUAGCACAAGAGAUUCUGAUUCUCUUUGACAAGGUUCGAAUCCUUGCGGGGUAACCA
rnacentral:tRNA from 1 species